GGAGAGUCCUCUGAGCAAAGCACCAGGGAGAAACUGGUCAGUGUGGAAGACAUUUUAUUGGAGGAGCCCUCCAAGGUUACUCAGGAAGAACAUCUCUCAGCGACACAUCUUCCCUUAUAAGCCAGAUAUAUUGUACAUUGAUAUGGGGCAAGAGAAAAUGCCAGUGGAUCAGCCAAAGGAUUGUGGUUGAUGGUCUCCCAACAGCAAGAGGUUAUGGAGGAGAUCUCAUCUGCAGACAAGGAGGAGAAAAACACAGAAGAAUCCCUUACUUCAAAUGAUAUUAGGGAGAUAUAUAAAAUUUAGGAAACAGUGCAAAAUUUUGUAGAAAAGCACCACCCAAAUGAGGCUGUAACAGUGCAAGAGAUGAAUCUGUUUAACAACAAUGAAAUGUCACAUUUCUGCAAAAUCCUCAAAAGGAGGCAAAAGCAAGUGUCACUAGAUAGGUUCCUUGUUAAAGUUGCACAAAAAUUAAAAGAUUCUAUUGAUCCAGUAGAUAGCAGUGAUUCCAUCAGUGACAGUGAACAUCAUCCUGCAUAAUAACCCUCCUCUCUCUUGUCUCCCUCACAUCAGCCAUUAAAGUUUUCAAAGCUGUGCGGGGACCACCUGCCCGGGGCCUACCUGCCUGGGUGUUACUCUUCAGCUGCCCGGGGACCCAGGGCCUGCCUUCCUGGGCACCACUCUUCUUCAGCUUCCUGGGACCUGUCUGCCUCCAUGCCACUCUUCUGCCCAGCCAGCCUCCCUGCCAUUAGCAGUGGGGCCAACAGCAAGAGCCACAGCCAGAUCCAGACAAUGGCAGAGAGCAGAAAGACCAUUGUUCUGAGCUCAGGAAGAUGGCAGAGUGGUGAGCAACAGAGAGAAGGCCUCUCUCAGGACUGUGGCUGAGAAUUGAAGCCCACUGGGAGAGGGAAGAUAGCCACUGCAAUAAAGACCCAGUGGACUUCAGUGGUUGUAAAUGAAAACAAAACAAAACAAAAAACCUCAAAACAGCUUCAAACAGUGACAAAGAAAGGACUUGACAAGGAUGCUAGAAAUUAGCAGGAACAGGAUACAGUACUUGCUGUGGGAACUUGGAAACUUCUGAACAUCACAGGCUGAGAAGGUUUCAUGAGGCCAUUAGGAGAAUUAAAGAAGCAACAAGUCACUUCAUUUUCUGUGGGAAGCUGAGCCGAUCCCAGCACCCGGAAGGAAGCUCCCCCGCCACCAUCCCAAGCUCCUAGGGCAGAGAAGGUGAGCUGGUCCCAGAACCCAGAAGGAAGCUCCACCACCGCCAUCCCAAGCUCUUAGGGGAGAGAAGGUGAGUCGUGUGGGUGCCAGAAGCACCCUCCCCCCCAUGGAAAUAAGAACACAUAUAAACAAGUCACAAAAACAGACUUCUGGAUUACCUACAGCAACCCCAAAGGGAAACGAGAUGGAACAAUCUGAUACUCAACCACCUAGACUCUCUGAACUGGCAACAAAAGAGGAUCCGGGAAAAAUGAAAUCAGAAAUAAUUACUCAGAUAACAGCAAAGAUUUUGCUCAUGGUGCAAGAUAUGAUUAAUAAAUAUAGAGAGGACACAGAUUAAAACAAAUAGAGGAGCUGAGGG
ensembl:lncRNA